rnacentral:rRNA from 1 species
CCUACGGGGGGCAGCAGUGGGGAAUAUUGCACAAUGGGGGGAACCCUGAUGCAGCAACGCCGCGUGGGUGAAGAAGUACUCCGGUAUGUAAAGCCCUGUCAGCAGGGAAGAAAAUGACGGUACCUGACCAAGAAGCCCCGGCUAACUCCGUGCCAGCAGCCGCGGUAAUACGUAGGGGGCAAGCGUUAUCCGGAUUUACUGGGGGUAAAGGGAGCGUAGACGGCAAGGCAAGUCUGGAGUGAAAGCCCGUGGCCCAACCACGGGACUGCUUUGGAAACUGGGUUGCUGGAGUGCAGUAGGGGGGAGUGGAAUUCCUGGUGUAGCGGUGAAAUGCGUAGAGAUCAGGAGGAAUACCGGUGGCGAAGGCGGCUCCCUGGAC